rnacentral:rRNA from 1 species
UCCAGACUCCUACGGGAGGCAGCAGUGGGGGAUAUUGCACAAUGGGGGGAACCCUGAUGCAGCGACGCCGCGUGGGUGAAGGAGCGUUUCGGCGCGUAAAGCCCUCUCGGCAGGGAAGAAGGAGGACGGUACCUGACUAAGAAGCCCCGGCUAACUACGUGCCAGCAGCCGCGGUAAUACGUAGGGGGCAAGCGUUAUCCGGAUUUACUGGGUGUAAAGGGGGCGCAGACGGCAGCGCAAGCCAGGAGUGAAAGCCCGGGGCCCAACCCCGGGACUGCUCUUGGAACUGCGCGGCUGGAGUGCAGGAGGGGCAGGCGGAAUUCCUGGUGUAGCGGUGAAAUGCGUAGAUAUCAGGAGGAACACCGGCGGCGAAGGCGGCCUGCUGGACUGCAACUGACGUUGAGGCCCGAAAGCGUGGGGAGCAAACAGGAUUAGAUACCCCGGUA